AUAAGCCAUCAUUUGUGCAUCAAAAUAUCACAGAAGUGCCCCCUCUUUCCCCUCCUCUCUCUAACAGCAAAUCAAGAUUUGCGGCAGCUCGUUCUCUGUCUCUCUAACCAGUGAACUUGGAGGUCUUCUCCACUUCAUUUCUCUUUGAUGACCAAUUCUAUUUGGUGUGAAAUCAAGCCAGUCCUAGGGUUUGUUUCUCACUCCAUCAUUCUCUCUCUCAAGGACAAAUCUAGGGUUUGAGCAAGGAGUGCACCAGUAAAGAAGACGGAAGAAUCAAAAAUACGAAAAAUAAACAGGAGCCAUCACCCCAGUUCUUAUGCUGAACUGAUUGCAAAGUUUCUGGAUAAGAAACUUCAUUAUGGAAAUAAAAGUACAUCAGAAGAAGAAUUGGUGCAUACACUUAAUGAAGUCUUGGUUUUAUUCAUCUUUAUACAGGGCAAGGAUGUAUUUGAAGCAUUCGAUAAGACGGAUCUUGCAAAAAGGCUACUCUUGGGAAAGAUUGCUUCCCUUGAUUCAGAGAAGCCUGUGAUCUCUAAGAGAAUUUGUUGAAGCCACUGGUUACAAUGUAUCACCAAUUUGUCUUCCGCACGUUGUGUCAACGUCUUCAUUUCCUCCAACAAAUGCACUGAUGGGUAGUGUGAAGCCUGAUAGAUACUGUACACUAAGCCCCAACUCCACGGAUCCAACUCCGCAAAUUUUUUGGAGGGUAUUUUGGUUAUUUUCGUACUUGUUAUAUUGCCCUAAUGCGAGGAUAUUUAUUUAUUCUGAACUCUCUAUAUCCUCUGCCUUUUUUUUAUCAUCAUAGUGAAAUCCCUGCAACCCUUGAACGUAGCCCUGAAUUUUAGGUGAACCAAGUAAAAUCUGUAUGUUCUUGUUGUCUGUGUGUUUGUGUGUUUGAUCUAUUUCUUGUGUUUUCUAUUUGAUUUCGCAACAAUUGGUAUCAGAGCCAUUAGGUUCGAGUGGAAGCGAUAGGUACCGAAGGGUACAGAAGAAGGAAAGAUCAAGAUCGACAAGUUCAAUUGUGCAUAUUUCAGGUUCUGGAAGAUGCAGAUUGAGGAUUAUCUGUAUCAGAAGAAGUUAUAUCAGCCUUUUUUUUGGAGAGAAACCAGAAGAGAUAAAUGAUGAUAAUUGGGCUCUUCUUGAUCGACAGGUACUAGGGAUCAUUCGAUUGACACUAUCGCGCAACGUUGCCUUCAACAUAGCAAAGGAAACGACAACAGAAGGUUUGAUGACUGCCCUUUCAAAUAUGUAUGAGAAACCCACUGCGUCUAACAAUGUAUAUUUGAUACGGCGAUUAUUCAACCUAAGAAUGUCAGAAGGCGCUUCAGUGACUGACCAUUUGAACAAGUUUAACAUUGUUACGACUUAGUUAAGCUCUGUAAAGAUCGAGUUUGAUGAUGAGAUUAAGGCGCUGCUUUUGUUAUCCUCUUUAUCGGAAAGCUACAACGGUACUGUAGUUCUUCAGAAAAAAGAAAAUUGAAGUUUGAUGAUGUUCUGGACUUGAUCCUCAGCAAAGAUAUUCGCAGAAGGGAAAUAGGUGAAUCAUCUGGAUCUAUUUUCAAUACUGAGGGAAGAGGAAGAACUUCUGAAAGAUCAGACUCAGAUCGUAGUAAAUCCAAAGUCACUGACCAUCUGAACAAGUUUAACAUUGUUACGACUUAGUUAAGCUCUAUAAAGAUCGAGUUUGAUGAUGAGAUUAAGGCACUAUUUUUCUUAUCCUCUUUAUCAGAAAGCUAGAACGGUACUGUUACAGUAGUGAGUAGUUCUUCAGGAAAAAGAAAAUUGAAGUUUGAUGAUGUUCUAGCCUUGAUCCUUAGCGAAGAUAUUCGCAGAAGGGAAACAGGGGAAUCAUCUGGAUCUAUUUUCAAUACCGAGGGCAGAGGAAGAACUUCUGAAAGAUCAGACUCAGAUCGUAGUAAAUCUAAAUCUAAACAUAGAAAAAGAAAAUUGAAGUUUGAUGAUGUUCUGGACUUGAUCCUUAGCGAAGAUAUUCGCAGAAGGGAAACAGGAGAAUCAUCUGGAUCUGUUUUCAAUACCGAGGGCAGAGGAAGAACUUCUGAAAGAUCAGACUCAGAUCGUAGUAAACAGGGGAAUCAUCUGGAUCUACUUUCAAUACCAAGGGCAGAGGAAGAACUUCUGAAAGAUCAGACUCAGAUCGUAAUAAAUCUAAAUCUAAACAUAGAAACAAGUCAAAAAUUGGAACCUGCUGGAAUUGUGGAAAGAAGGGGCAUUUAAUGUUUUGAGUGUCGAGUACCAAAGAAGAAGAGUGAAGGAAAACAGGAAUCUAUAAACGCCGUCAAAGAAAAGAUUGUUAAUGUUUUGAUUUUGAGUGUAGAUAGUUCCGUUGAGUCUUGAGUUCUAGACUCAGGUGCAUCCUUUUACUUUACCUCACAUCAUGAAAUCAUGGAAAACUAUGUUAGUGGUUAUUUUGGAAAGGUUUAUCUGGCUUAUGAUAAGCCUUUGAAUAUUGUGGGUAAAGGUGAUGUUCGAAUCAGGCAACCUAAUGGGGCUGUAUGGAAGAUUCAGAAUGUGAGGCAUGUUCUUGUCUUGAAGAUAAAUUUGAUCUCUGUGGGACAACUUGAUGACAAUGGGCAUAUAGUUAAUUUUGUAGGUGGCUUGUGCAAAAUCACGAAUGGAUCCUUGGUCUUGGCUUGUGGAAGCAAGACAAGUACUCUAUACACGACAACAAACAUUAAGAACGCCAUUGUUAUUGUUGAUGCUGGCGUAAAUUCAAACCUGUGGCAUUGUAGACUAGAUCAUAUAGUGAGAAGGGGAUGAAGGUACUUCUGUCGAAAGGAAAACUGUCGAGUAUUAAAUCAGUUGAAAUUGAUUUGUGUGAGGACUGUAUCUUCGGGAAAUAGAAAAGGGUUAAUUUUUCAAAGGUUGGCAGGACACCUAAGACAGAGAAAUUAGAGUUGGUUCAUACAGACGUGGGGGCCUUCUCUAGUUUUAUCUCUUGGCAGCUCAUUGUAUUAUGUUACAUUUAUCGAUGAUUCUAAGAGAAAGGUAUGGAUUUAUUUUUUGAAAAAUAACUCUGAAGUAUAUGAUACUUUCAAGAAGUGGAAGGCUAUGGUGGAGAAUGAGGCAGGCUUGAAGGUGAAAUGUUUGAGGUCUGAUAAUGGUGGUGAGUAUGAAGACAGAGGCUCAAAAGAAUUCUGUGCUGUUAAUAGGAUCAGAAUGGAGAAGACUGUUCCUAAAAUCCCGCAACAGAAUGGGGUUGUAGAACGCAUGAACAAAACUUGAAUGAGCGUGCUCGGAGUAUGAGGAUACAUGCUGGAUUGCCUAAGAUGUUUUGGGCUAACACUACAGUAUACUUGAUCAAUCAAAGACCUUCUGUUCCUAUGGAUGGAGCCUAAGAUGUUUUGGGCUAACACUACAGUAUACUUGAUCAAUUAAAGACCUUCUGUUCCUAUGGAUGGAGGCUUACCAAAGGAGGCUUGGAGCAAAGAAAGAGGUAAAUCUUUCACAUCUAAAAUGUUUUUAGCUGUGUUUUAUAUGUACAUAUAAGUUCUAAUGCUAGAAGCAAGCUUGAUCCAAAGUAAAAAAAAUGUACUUUUAUUGGGUAUGGCACUGAUGAGUUUGGUUAUCGGUUUUGGGAUGACCAAAACCGGAAGAUAAUUAGAAGCAAAGAUGUCGUGUUCAAUGAGAAAAUAAUGUAUAAGGAUACUAAUCUAGGUGCUCAUGCUGAAAAUGAUGAGUUUAUUAAGUUGGAGGAAAUCUCUAAGGAAGAUGUGCAGAGGAGAUUUCAGAACAAUCCAGAAAUAUAGUUCCACGGGUGGAACAAAGCAAACCUAUUACUGCAUUGAGACAAUCCUCCAGAGUCUCCAAACCUACACAGCGUUUCUCGCAUUCUUUACACUAUUUGUUGUUGUCUGAUGGUGGUGAACCAGAGAGUUAUGAUGAAGCAGUACAGGCUGGUGAUUCAACCAAGUGGGAGUCAGCUAUGCAGGAUGAGAUGAACUCACUCAUGUCAAAUCAGACAUGGGAGCUAACUGAACUACCAAAGGGCAAGAAGGCUUUACAUAACAAGUGGGUUUAUAGAAUCAAGGAAGAAUAUGAUGGCAACAAGCAUUACAAAGCCAGAUUGGUUGUGAAGGGAUUUCAGCAAAAGCAUGAUGUUGACUACACUGAGAUUUUCUCCACGGUUGUGAAGUUGACUACAGUCAGAUUGGUGCUUGGAAUUGUGACUGCAUAAAAUUUGCAUUUAGAGCAGUUAGAUGUGAAGACUGUCUUUCUUUAUGGUGAUUUGAGAGGAAGAUAUCUAUAUGAGACAACCAUAGGGAUUCACAGUGCUAGAAAUGCAGGGUUUGGUAUGUAAGCUGAAAAAGAGUUUGUAUAGUUUGAAGCAGCCCCCAAACAAUGGUAUAAGAAGUUUAAUGAAUUCAUGUGCAGUAAUGGUUUCACGAGAUACUAUGCAGAUCAUUGUUGUUAUGUUAAGAGGUUUGACAAUAGCUACAUUAUCUUACUAUUGUAUGUUGAUGAUAUGUUGGUUGUUGGGUCAAGUCUCGAGGAGAUUAAAAAUCUGAAGAAACAAUUGUCUGUGUAGUUUGCGAUGAAAUAUUUGGAUGAAGCAAAACAGAUUGUUGGCAUGAGGAUUUGCAGAGAUAGAGUGGGUGGUACUCUGAAGCUGUCACAAAUAGAGUAUAUUAAAAAAGUUCUCAGCAGGUUCAGCAUGCGAGAUGCAAAACCAGCGAACACCCCAUUAGCUAGUCACUUUAGACUAACUAAGGAACAGUCUCCCAAGACAGAGGAGGAAGGAGCAUACAUAGAAAGAGUUCCAUAUGCCUCAACUAUUGGCAGCAUAAUAUAUGCCAUGGUAUGUACCAGACCAGACAUAACACGUGUAGUGGGAGUUGUGAGUAGGUACAUGAGUAAUCCAGGCAAGCAUCAUUUGGAGGUGGUAAAAUGGAUCCUUAGAUACUUGAAGAGUACCACAGAAACAUCACUAUGUUUUACUGGGAAAAGGAUUGCAUUGCAUGGUUAUGUUGAUUCAGACUUGGUUAGUGAUAUGGAUAAUAGGAAGAGUACUAUGGGGUAUGUGUAUACUUUAGGUGAUGCAGCAGUGAGUUGGGUCUCUCAGUUGCAGAAGAUUGUGGCUCUAUCAACCACAUAAGCUGAAUAUGCUGCUAUUACAUAAGCUAGCAAGGAGAUGGUUUGGUUGCAGGGUUUUUUGGAAGAAUUGGGUAAGAAAUGACUAUUCAUCUUGAUGUUUAUUUUAUACAGUGAUAGUCAGAGUGCUAUUCACUUGAUGUUUAUCAGUCUCUAAGUGGGAGAUUGAUGGGUACUGUGGAGCCUGAUAGAUAUUGUACACCAACUCCGUGAAUUUUUUGGAGGGUAUUUUGGUUAUUUCCGCACUUGUUAUGUUACCCUAGUGCAAGGGUAUUUAUUCAUUCUGAACUCUUUGUAUUCGUUGCUAUUUUUUGAUCAUCAUAGUGAAAUCCCUGCAACCCUUGGAUGUAGUCUUGAAUAUUGGGUACACUAAGUAAAAUCUGUGUGUUCUUAUCGUGUGUGUUUGAUUUAUUUCUUGUGCAACAUGUGCAUCGGGAUUCUUUCUGACACAUUGAUGAAAUUCUUUACGAGGAUCAGCUUUUCAAAAGCCUAAAUGAUUUCAAAGAUGCACUCGUUUUGUUUGGUCUUCGUAACCAUUUUUGGUUCAAGUACUUGGAUAACAGCAGAGUUGUGUGCAAGGUUAAUAAUUGUACAUGGAAAUUAUCAGUGGGUUGCGAAGGCAGUAGUGAUAUAGUGAGAAUCAAGCGGUUUAAUAAUGUUCACACUCACACUGCUCAAGACAUUUCAGAUUAUAAAGCCAUUUUUCGAUCAAAGAAAAUGGGUCGAGCUAUUGUGAACAACGUUAGGGACAAUUCUAAAUUCACUCCCAAGACUAUUUCCACAGACAUAAGCAGUGAAUUUUCUAUUGACAUGACUUACAUGUAAUCAUGGAGAGCUAAAGAGUAUGCACGUUAUAUCAUUAAGGGCAAUCCCGAUGAUAGCUAUAUUUUAGUCCCCUGGUUAUUUGAACCAAUAAUAGAAUAUAUUCCCGGGACAAUUGCAUCGUAGGAGUGCACGGAUGAUAGGAGAUUUAAGCGUCGUGGGAGUAGCUUAUGGGUGCUCUAUACGAGGUUUCAUCAACUAUUGCAGACCCAUAUUGGCAAUCGAUGCUUGUCACUUGAAUGGCAAUUAUAAAAGCACAAUGCUUGGUAUAACAAGUUUCGAUGCGAAUAAAGGCUUGUGGCCUUUAGUGUAUGCUAUUGUUUCUUCUGAGAAUGAUGAUGAUUGACAUUGGUUCUUGACAAGGUGAAAGAGAUUCUAGAUGGUCGCAUUGUGACAAUCUUAACUGAUAGCUAUUCGAGCCUAAUAAGCUGUAUUAGAGAUAUUUUUGGUAUCCAAUACCACUCAUGGUGUCUUCGUCACCUAACGGCAAUUUUUUCUACAUUCAUUCUUGGGAGACAAAGUUUAGGAUUGAGGACUUUAGAUAAAGAGAUUGCAAAAAAAUUAUUCGAUAAAAUUGCAUAUGCUCAAACUUUAGACAAGUAUGAGAAUGCAUUGGCUGCUAUGCGGGCAUUUCGGGGGGAGUUGUGUGAUUGGGUUACUUCUAGCGUUGGGAUAAAUUAUACACCAACCAAACAGAGUCCUUUAAUGCAUGGGUGAAAGAAGAGAGGGUUUUUUCAAUCACAAGAUCAUGGAUACACACAUGCAAAGACUCAGCAAAUUUUUAUACCAAAACAGUUUGAACGUUCAGAAGUCGACUAUCCCAGCUUCCGGAGAAAAUCCAAAAUGAGCGAGAGUUUGCACUUAGUUUUAGUUUAAUGCGUUUUUCGAAUAUUGAGUGUACAAUAUAUGAUUGACGCAGAAGACCAUAUAAGGUGGUAUUUGGCACUGUAAUGUCUUGUAGUUGUUUGAAGUGGACCAUGAUUGGGUUUCCUUGUUUGCAUACAUGUUAUGCCAUCCAUAAAUUAUUUUUAAAUAUUUAUGAGAUGGUUGAUUAAAAUAUAACAGAAACUAUGCGAACAUCUCAUGUCUUUUGUCCCCAUGCAUGAUAUGCCGA